UACGAAGGGGGCUAGCGUUGCUCGGAAUUACUGGGCGUAAAGGGCGCGCAGGCGGCACUGUUAGUCAGGCGUGAAAUUCCUGGGCUCAACCUGGGGACUGCGCUUGAUACGGCAGAGCUUGAGGAUGGAAGAGGGUCGCGGAAUUCCCAGUGUAGAGGUGAAAUUCGUAGAUAUUGGGAAGAACACCGGUGGCGAAGGCGGCGACCUGGUCCAUUACUGACGCUGAGGCGCGACAGCGUGGGGAGCAAACAGG
rnacentral:rRNA from 1 species